GACGAAGGGGGCUAGCGUUGUUCGGAAUUACUGGGCGUAAAGGGCGCGCAGGCGGCUCAGACAGUCAGAUGUGAAAGCCCCGGGCUUAACCUGGGAACUGCAUUUGAUACUACUGAGCUUGAGUACGGGAGAGGAUAGUGGAAUUCCCAGUGUAGAGGUGAAAUUCGUAGAUAUUGGGAAGAACACCGGUGGCGAAGGCGGCUAUCUGGACCGUAACUGACGCUGAGGCGCGAAAGCGUGGGGAGCAAACAGG
rnacentral:rRNA from 1 species